AGGGCUGUGUAAAAAUCCUUUUCUACUGAGAUAAUGAACAAAACCAUGGAUGCGUCAAUUAAACACCACACUCCCUUCUGCUCCAUUGGCUGCUCUGUUGCUGAAUUACUUUUGGGCUCUGGAGUCUGUUAAAUACCCUGUGCUCUUUGGCAAGGAUCUUCUGUUGUGAAGACUUUUUUCUUUUUUUUUUUUUCUUUUUUUCUUUUUUUCUUUUUUUUGGUCUCUUUAGGGAUAUACCUGCAGUAUAUAGAGAUUCCCAGGCUAGGGAUAAAAUUGGAGCUGUAGCUGAUGGCCUACACCACAGCCACAGCAACAUGGGAUCUGAGACGUGCACCACAGACCACAGCAAUGCCAGAUCCCUAACCCACUGAGUGAGGCCAGGGAUCGAACCUGCAUCCUCAAUGAUGUCAGUCUGCUGAGCCACGGCGGGAACUCUAUGUUGUGAAGACUUUGAAACCAGCAGAUGUGAUUGGGGUGAGAUAGAAAAGGACGAAAUUGAGCCCCCUUCUCCUGCCCUCAGGAGAGUAAAUGAAUAACAUAGCUGUGAAAAGUGUUGGGAGGAUUCCAGAGAGGAAAGAGCUGUAUCAAACAGGCAAAGAUUCUGGUUUAUCCUACUGGCAGUUUCCAGAAUCAGCAAACUGUCAGAUAAAAGACUCUGGACAUAUGGAUAACUAAAUUUAGCUGUCAAGUAGGUAGUGAAUGUGCUGUGGCUGUUGAUAGAACACUGUGAAUAAUGACAAGAAGAAAGCACUAAAUGCUCAAAGAGGUAAUCUGCCCUAAUGAAGGUGAGACACUUAAAAUAUGAGAGAGCAAAUCUGAACACAGAGCAUUGGUAACUUCUUUUAGAGCACAUAGAGCAUAAGUGAUUUAUUUGGUAACACUGAGAUGUAACAGUCAGCCAUUCUUAACCCAACAGCUGCUAGUUUAUAACAAAUCCCAUCAGUGCAAGAAUGUGGAUAGCCCUAGAUUUGGGUUGCAAAUAUCAUUGGCCCUAUUGGUGUCAAAAGCAAACUCAGCUUCAAGGCAAAUUAUAAGAACUUUUAAGAAUUGACUGUACAAAUCCCAGGAUGCAAUAAUUUACAGGAACUUCAAGGAAGUUCGGGAAUGGUAGAAGUAAAGUAGAACUUCUUUAGAUCCAGCUUCACAUCUUCUUUCAAUAGACCAUUUCAGCGUGGGUAAAAGGUCUUUAAGGAUCUCUCUAAUUAGAAGAAUGGACAAAAACAGAGAAGAGUAGGAAUAGGGCCAACACUCAGGUGCGGACAUGGGAUGGUAUAGGGUAGGGUGAUGGAUAACACAAUGGGUAUUUGAGCAAAGCCUCCAGGUUCAUUACUUGCUUUAAAUCCAUUCUCUCUGUCUCUUCUCCUCCCCUUUCGUCUCACUUUUCCGGUCUGCACUAAACUCAAAACUAUUCAAACUAUAGAGCGUUAGUGAAGCAAGGGAUUAUGGAAAAACCAACAUCUCUGACAGUCUUUCAAAGGAUGCUGGAGUAACCACUAGAUCUGUUGGCUGCAGUCUGUACCUGUGAAUGAAAACUAGGAAGAAAACUUGAGUAGUCCUAUCAUAAGAAAACAGCUUGUGGAGAGUCUAGGAGUGAGAGCAGGUGCCUGGGGCCUGUAGAUGAGGAAUGAGUAGUCAAGUGGCUUGUUUUUGCCUGCCUCUUUGCUCUCCUCCUUAGGAUAGCAGAGUGGGAGUACAAUGAAGUACAGCUACAACCAAAGAGAGCAGCCAGUAUCUCUGAGCAAGAGUGAUCCCAAACAAUGGUUCUUAAACAUUAAGGUGCCCUGCUGAAGGUUCACUGGAGAAGCUUGUUGCAUGUGCAGAUUCCAGGUCCCAACCUGAGAAAAUGUGGUCUAGUAAGUCUACAGCCAGACCCCAUAUCUAGUGAAUCUGAAAUUGCUGGUCUCUGAGUACUUUGAAAAACACUAAACCAUCGGGUACCUUCAGGAGCAAACAGAUCUUCCUCCUGAGCCACAAAUAUCCUUUUCUAAGUUACUAGAAUUCUCCAUGUCUUGGCAAAUCAGCCUAUGGGUAGGAUUGCUGUCUUGGACAUUCCCUUCCUUACAGAUUAUAUAUCAGUAGUUAACACUUCCCAGAAAUCUGAGUAUUACCUGAUGAUAAUCAAACACCAGUGAAUUUCCUCCUUUGAGGUUGCUUGAGAUGUUCUUAAGCAAACCAUGAUUCCAAUAAGGCAAGUGACUUGGUGGCAGAGUGCUGCUCUGGUGAUCAGAGCAAAGUUUCACUAGAAAAACAGUUAAGACAAAACCAGGCUCAUUGGAUCCAUAGAUUGAAUCUGGGGAUCAGAGCCUGCUACUGAUUUUAACCUCUCACGUGGUGAGGGGAGUGAGGCAGCCCCCUCCCUGAGAGGCACUCACAACUGAUCCCGUGCUGAAGAGAGACAUCGCAGAGCCAUCUUUUUCCCUGGGUGGCCCAUCAGCUGUCAGCUGGGAGGAUGUUGGGUUCACUGAUGAGGGCUAAUCAGGCAGGUGAAGAAGUGAGAAUAAUUGGCCCCAUGUAGACCCAUUACUGAGUUUGCAAAGCUACUGGCAUCUCCAAGAGUCUCUACCCUUGAGGAAUAAGAUGAUUGGGAAACUGUGGAUGAAGAGGUUGGAUCCAUACCAGAUCUCUGCCAAUACACUGAUUAUUAGCCCCAAAGGACUUCUCUGCCUCACCCCCAAACUUUUGUGUAAUUGUUAUCUAUAUUUUUUCUAUGCUGGAAAACCAAGCUUUUAUAGUCUUUCUUUCUUUUAUGCCAGUUUCCCAGUGUACACUGUGACCUGGAUUACAGCUGAGGUCCUCUCUGCCCAUCAAGAUCAUAAUAAAAUUAGAGGUAUGUGACUUACUUCCCAAAUACUUGGGGAUUUUCUAGGGAUCGUUCAGUUAUUGAUUUCUAAUUUAAUAGCAUGUGAUCAGAGAACAUACUUUGUAUGACUUGAAUGCUUUUGAAUUUAUUGAGACUUGUUUAUGGUCCAGAAUAUGGUGUAUCUUGGUGAAUGUUCCAUGACCAAAGAAUAUAUAUUCACGUAGUCUAUAAUUGUGGAUUAGGUCAUGUUGCUUGAUAGUGUUACCCAGGUCAACUAUAUCCUUUCUAAUUUUCUGCCUACUUGUUCUAUAAAGAAUUGAAAGGGGAAUACAUUGAAAUCUCUAACUGUAAUUGUGAAUUUAUUUUUCCUGCUGUUUUUUCAGUUUUGCUUCAUGUAUCUGAAGUCUGUUAUGAGGUGCAUAAACAUUUAAAUUGCUAUAUCCUCUUGAUACAUUUCCUCAUUUAUCAUUAUAAAAUUACUUUCUUUAGGCCUGCUAAUAUUUUGAUCUGAAAUAUACUUUUCUGAAAUUAAUACUUUCACUACCAUUUUAUUUUGAUUGCUUUACCAUGGUACAUCUUUUUUCAUCUCUUUACUGUUAACCCUUUACUCUCAACUUCUCUGCACAAUUAUGUUUGCAGAAUUUCCCCAAGCAGAUCUGAAAUCCUAGUCUUCUAGGAUGAUAAUAUGCCUGGAAAAUUGAUUUCAGAUGUAACUUCAUUCAAAGUGAACAUUCAGGAAUAUUUGAGGACUUUAUCAGAAGAGCUGGUAUGGGCUAGGCAGGAAAUCAAACCAACCCCAUGAAAGGCAACUUUGCAAAGGAUGGGAUGGGAUCCUCACCCCAAUUAGAUGGUAUCAUAGGCAGCUGAAUGCUGUUGUGUAGUCCUGAAAGUCAGAAAUAAUUGUCCCAUUAAUAGAGUGAUGCUGUGUCUUUUCUAUGCAGCAUCUUUAUUCCAUUGAUUUCACAUAUCCUUUACUUACAGUAGAGGAAUUUGUGCCCUUUAUUUCUGUCUCUUGGCUUGUUUCACAUUAAAAUCACUUUGGUAAACCAACAGUCAAAAUUUCAGGUGUGUGUGGCUUUUAUAAGCAGCAUCUAUCUAGAAUAUUCUCUUUUAAUCAAUCAGAGAGUACUUCUGUUUUUAUAUAGGUGAUAUUUGGGGGCAUUGGAUUUUUGCUUUUCUUUCUUUUAAAAAAAUAACUUUGGAGUUCCUGUCGUGGUGCAGUGGUUAACGAAUCCGACUAGGAACCAUGAGGUUGUGGGUUCGGUCCCUGCCCUUGCUCAGUGGGUUGAUGAUCCAGCGUUGCCGUGAGCUGUGGUGUAGGUUGCAGAUGCGGCUCGGAUCCCGCAUUGCUGUGGCUCUGGCGUAGGCCGGUGGCUACAGCUCCGAUUUGACCCCUAGCCUGGGAACCUCCAUAUGCCGUGGGAGCAGCCCAAGAAACAAAAAAAAUAAAAAAUAAAAUAAAAUAAAUAAAAAAAAUAACUUUGGGGGAUUUCUGGUAUAUUGAAUUUGUUUUGAUUUCUCACUUUGAUUUUUCCAUUUAUCAUAUUUUUCCUAUUUACAUCCCUCCCCCACCUUCUGACCUUAUUUCUAUUUCCUUUUGGAUUAAAUUUUCUUUGUUUUUCAAUUUAUGUUUUCCCCCAUUGCUGGUUCCUCUAUUUCUAUUAGUAGCUAUCCUUAAACACUUAAUAUUUAAUUUAACAAAGUCUAUCAUAUAUAUUUAAUUCCACAAGUUCAUAGUGGUAGCUAAAUUAAUUGGUCACUAGCUUAGUUAUCCAUUGCCACACAAGAAAUUAUCUCAAAAUUUAGGAGUUUAAAUCAAUAAACAUUUUAUCUUAUACUCUUGGAAGGGACACAUGGUUAAUGAAUCUGACUAGGAACCAUGGGGUUGCAGGUUCGAUCCCUGGCCUUGCUCAGUGGGUUAAGGAUCUGGCGUUGCCAUGAGCUGUGGUGUAGGUCGCAGAUGUGGCUCGGAUCUGGCAUUGCUAUGGCUUGGACCUGGCAUUGCUGUGGCUCGGAUCUGGCGUUGCUGUGGCACUGGUAUAGGCUGGUGGCUACAGCUCUGAUUAGAUUCCUAGCCUAGGAACCUCCAUAUGCCACGGGAGCAGCCCUAGAAAAGGCAAAAAGACAAAACAAACAAACAAACAAACAAAAAACAAAAACAAAAAAAC
rnacentral:lncRNA from 1 species